rnacentral:lncRNA from 1 species
UUAGUUGAGUUCACCCUUUUGCUUUCAUUGUUAUCUUCAGGAAAUGAGAACGUAGCAAGGACUAAUUGGGGAACAGAAUGAUGGUCCAGAUAAUAGCAUUAGUAGUCCUCACUAUUCUAUAAAAUAGUGUGAUAAUAAAUGUAAUGAGGACCCCAUUGAGUUUGUAUAUUGUCUAGAUGAUAAUAUUUGUAUUAAAACUCACAACAUAUGUUUAGUCGUAUUUUACACGACUGUUGUAUAAUUAAGUUGUAUUUGAAUUUUGUACCAUGUAUUUGGCGACUCAGAAUAGGUGAUGUAUACCCAUUUUGGGGGCGUCACAGUGAACCAUAGCAUCAGUGUUAAGCCACCAUGUAUUAGAAGGAACAUAAUUAGAAAGUAUUCAUAAGUUACAUAAUUGAAGGACGAUAUACCUUUCUUUUCAAGUCAUUCUUUUAAUUUAAAGCAUUUUUUUUGAAUAUGUCAUUAUUUCUUACAGAAGUGGCAUUUAGGACAUGUCUAAGAGUUGUUACCUGAAUAAUUUGCCUUAUUUGUUUUGGUAGAAAUUGGUUUAUCCUUAUUCUUAAAAUCUUUGCCAUUUUUAUAAGCCUUCUUCUUAUAGGAUCCAGUGGUAGUCAAAUGAGCAACAUUAGGUUUUUCAACCUUAAGCCUUUCUUCAUCUUUAAUUUAAAAGCCAUGUCGUUCAUCAUCAUAAUGUGCUCGCGCACCCCCACUAACCCCAUCAUACCUGCUAAUAAGCAUUUUCAAAAUAAGGGUACUUGCAUUAGUUUUUGAAGAACCCUUAAAUUGUUACUCGACUGAAGUUAAGUACUCUUUAACAUUCUCAAAGUCAAGAAUGACUCCUCGAAUAGCUGUCGUGAUAAAGUUUUUCAUAAUCAUAAGAUACAUGCAGUUGGAUCGCUCCCACUUUCAUAAAUAUCCUUUUGCUCAAUUGAGCUAGUAGUUGUAAGUGAAACAUGAUGAUCCACUCGUAGUGCAUAGUCCAAAACCAUAGUGCCGAGAACAAUUUUCACUUAUACUUUUCGAACAGUAAAAUUAGUUCAAGACUUCAAUUCCAGAGAUACCCAUAAAUACUAGUUGGAGUCAAUGCUUAAAUACAAUCAAGCUCAUAAGCAUACUUACAAAAAACUAAAAGAAAUCAACAAUGUACAACAAUAAUUAAUAUAUAAUCAUAAUGAAAAUCAACUGUAGGGCAAGCAGUUAGUUAGAUAAAAUCUAUUUACAACACCCAAAAAAUAGAUUUUAAUGAGACGUUGGUGCAUAAUUAUCAAUCUUUCGUUGGUCCAAUUAAUAAUAUGCUAAUAACAUUCCCAUAAAAUAAUGCACAACACAUUUAUCCACGCAACACUGUUGGAUAGAAACGAAAUAAACAUGUUACUUAUGCAAUAAAAUUCCAUUUAAUAAAUUCUAAUUCUAAUUUUUCGUUGGGUAAAAUUAAAAUAUUCAUUUAUUAAAUGUAACAUUAUGUGACUUUUCUUAAUCUUUAAUUGUUUCAAUUAAUAACCCUCCGUUGGGUUGAUUAUUAAUUUUAACAAUAAAA